UACACAAGCACAGUUAGUUGGGUGAAGUC
rnacentral:piRNA from 1 species